rnacentral:rRNA from 1 species
GACGAACGCUGGCGGCGUGCUUAACACAUGCAAGUCGAACGUGAAAUGGAGCAAUCCAGAGUAAAGUGGCGUACGGGUGAGUAACACGUAGGUAAUCUACCCUAGAGUUUGGAAUAACCUGCCGAAAGGCGGGCUAAUACUGGAUAGAGCGACGGAAUCCGUAAUCGGAUUUUUCGGGAAAGGGAGCCUGAUAAGGGCCCUCGCUUUAGGAUGAGCCUGCGUCUGAUUAGCUAGUUGGUGAGGUAACGGCUCACCAAGGCGAUGAUCAGUAGCUGGUCUGAGAGGAUGAUCAGCCACACUGGAACUGAAACACGGUCCAGACUCCUACGGGAGGCAGCAGUGGGGAAUCUUGCGCAAUGGACGAAAGUCUGACGCAGCCACGCCGCGUGAGUGAAGAAGGCCUUCGGGUUGUAAAGCUCUGUCGGGCGGGACGAAAAACUGAACAGUUAAGAGCUGGUCAGUCUGACGGUACCGCCAAAGGAAGCACCGGCUAACUUCGUGCCAGCAGCCGCCGUAA